CAGCAGGGGCUGCUGUGCUUUCAGCACAGCAGAGGAUCCCACCCCUCAGCAAAGCAUACUUUUUCGCUAUGGCGCUGAAUCUUGGAACUGCUUCCACUGCUCUCCACCCAACACUCUUAAUUUCUCCCAAGAUUUCGAGGCAUAAAAUUGGGCUGAAGCUCCAUCACUCUCCCUCUCCGUCUUGUCUGAAAUCGGCGGCUGCGCUGUCUGAAGGAACUGAGAGCACACUUUCGGAGGAAGAAGACUCACCUACUCAUUCUGGGUCAUCAUCGACUUCAGCUCGGAUUCAGAUGGAUCUCUUGGAUCAACUCACAUCUAGUGGAGCCUCUAGCCAAGGCUAUGAGAGUGAUGGUGGACCGACCAUACGCGAACAGCUUGCUAAUUUGGUUGGAGACAGCGAUGACGAUUUCACUAUCCCAUUGGGUAAGAAUCUGAAGAAGGUGACUGCCAAGUUCCUAACCACAUCACAAAAGAGAAACAUUCGGAGGCAGACUUAUUUGAACGAAGUAUCCCGGAGGAACGACUCAGUCUUCUUUGCCACUAUUGGUGCCUUCGUUAUCCUCCCGCCUAUUGUCAUUUUAGGAAUAGCAAUUGCAACAGAUGCCGGCCAGUUCUUGUAACCUCAUGAUGACAUAUACGGAUAGCCUACUCUGGUGAUCGUUGUUGAAAGAGUUGUCGAAGUAUUUUAUUGGUAUUACAGCUGCUGCUGUAGCAUGUUGGCCUGAAACUACCUGAUAUAAGAUUUGUUGUUGAUGUUAAAUAGGAGAAAUUCAUGGAGCUUGAUCUCGAAUGACAGUUCUGGAGUCAGCUGAAAACCAUACACACACGCACACAUAGCUGGCCCCGGUUCUUGAAAACUCGUCGUUAGAACUCUUAACUUUGAAAAGAGAUAUAGAUUCUAGUACAUGAAACAUGUGACUUGCAUAUCUGUUGCUAGAAUGGUUGAAAGUUCUAUCAAUGAGGUGAUUGAUGGUUGGAGGUCAAGAAUGUUGAGGCCUACAGGUAGAGCAAAAGCUAACAACUUCUGUAUAGAAAUCAUUUUUGAAAUCAAGAGGAUUUCAACAUUUGAGAAAUUUGAGAUGCUGUAGUGGUCUCAAAUAGUUUUAUGGUAUAACAUUAUCUUCUGAUACUCCCACAAUGUUCAGACAACUAUUGUUCUAUAAUGUAGCAUAUGCAUUAUGAAACUUUCAAUGAA